UACAGAGGUCUCAAGCGUUGUUCGGAUUCAUUGGGCGUAAAGGGGUGUGUAGGUGGCGCGCUAAGUCGGGUGUGAAAUUUCGGAGCUUAACUCCGAAACUGCAUUCGAUACUGGCCGUGCUUGAGGACUGGAGAGGAGACUGGAAUUAUCGGUGUAGCAGUGAAAUGCGUAGAGAUCAUAGGAAGACCAGUGCGAAGGCGGGUCUCUGGACAGUUCCUGACGCUGAGGCACGAAGGUCAGGGGAGCAAAACGGGGAUUAGAUACCC
rnacentral:rRNA from 1 species